UUAUUAUUAUCUUUCUCUUCUGAAAUGUUUUAGACAAUAGCUCAGAAACUGGUCUGGUGUUAUUAUUAUUAUUAUUUUGUGUGGAGGGAAGGAAGACCAGAAGCAAAAAAAAAAAAAAUAGCCAAAACUUUACAGCAGGUGCAUCACACUGGUCUUGGUGUGUGAGUUUCUGUCUGUAAAGUACUGUUCCAUGACACUUAAAAUGAAGAGAAUGGUAAAGCAAAGUCCUGACUCAAAGGCUGUACCAAAAGGUUUUGUCUACUUUUAACUCAUUGUGAACAGGUUUGUCCCCAACUUCGGAUCUUUUCCACGACAUCAUGUACCAGGAAACCACGGCCAUCUCUACCCUCUCCGAUCUCUUCCUUCACCAGAUCUCUUGGCUUUGGUGCAAUAGUUUCUUAUGUUCAAGUCCAGCCUCAACCACAAUGGAGUACAUUUAGGAACUGUGAUUCUUUCUCUCUUUCUGAAAAUGCCAGUCCAAGUGAAGAAGUCCCAAUUUUUUAAAAUAUUAAAUUAUUAAAUCAAAUUAUUAAAAGAUAAAUAUUCAUGCUUAAAAAUGGGUUUGCUUAAAAGUAUAUAAGUAAGAUGAACAUGUGAAAGGGAAUUAUUUUUACCCCUGGCCGAGGUAUUGGCUUUUGAGGUUUCUU